rnacentral:sRNA from 1 species
UGCUUUUACUGUUUUCACCUCAACUAAAACUUCAAAAAGUUGCAGAAAACAAAUCGUAACUAUUACGAUUUGAUUAUAUACUAUAUUAGUUGAGAAUCAUUGUCAAUAAAGGUUGUA